AACCACUCGUCAGUGCGCUCUUCGUGGCAGCACAUGUAUUUAUGACACUUUGAUGCUCUGCUAACCUGCGAUUAUAUAUUGUGAAAAAGAGGUUACUAUUUAUAUUCAGCGAAGAAAUAAUCUUGAAAGUUGCUAGUGAGGUUAGGAUUCAAAUGCAUUCAAUAUAUCAACUACUACGUCAUCAAGUUUCUGAAAAACGAAAUUAGUGAAGCCUGAUAAAGUGAAUAUUCAAAUAAGUUUGCAGUAAAAGAAGAAGAAACAUCACUAAAGAUGUUGCUAAAACGUUAGCUUGUAGAGUUCAAUAGUUUCUUGUCGAAAUUGUAUAAACCAAAAACAAUGUUUUAAAUCGAAUAACUAUGAGGAUAAUGAUAAAAAUGAAAAUACGACUUCAUGGAGGAAGGAGAAUCUAUCUGAAAGACUGGUUUUGACAGAAAGAUUAUCAAGGCUUGUCUCCCAGACAAUACCAUUGAUUAACUAUUAGAAUAUUGUGGUCAAGCCAUACGAUACAUUAAACAUAACCUAAAUAUUAUGAAAAGAGCUAUAUGUACAACAGUUUUUCAUAUAGUAUCUGUGGACGACAAAAUUUUCUUCAAGCGAUUGGUGUAAAUGUAAAAUAGUUGGGGCAGAGCUUUAUUUACAAAAAUUCUUUACCCAAGUCUGUUGCAUUGACUAUAAGGCCAUUUUAAAGAAAUUUGACAUAUUCAGAUGUAUUGAAGAAAUGUCUCGCAAAGAAGACAAUGUAAAUGAUCCUUUUAAUAACGUUGUGUGAACAAGUGUACCAAAGAAUGUAUUUGUGCAAUCUCAUUCAUUGAAGCUUGGUUUAUAUGAUGCAGUUAUUAUAUUUACUGCUGAUAUUGCAUGCAGAUUGGAAGAGUUAGGAGGUAAAACGGCUGUUGAGAAAAGGAGCAAGUUGAUAAAGCACAGCUACAAACCUAGGUACUAUCUAAAAAAGCAAGAUUUUUGGAAAGAUGAAAGAGAAUUCAUUUAGAUAAUACAAAAGAAGAAGAAGAAGAAACAUUAUGGUGAUGGAUGGUUUUGACUGCUGUUUUUACUAAAAAGGCAAAUAUCAAGAUCUCUCUCCGUGGGUUGAUAGAGAAAGAAUUAGUUUGCAUGUUUUAAGAAAAUCGAGACAAAAUAAGAAAUCGAGUCAAACAGAGUAUUCGAUAAGUCAAAAGAGUAUCGAAAGAAUCGUCGAGGAUUUAAUAGACGAAGAAAAUCAACUAUACCUUAUAUUAUUGUUCAUUUUGUUAUCAUCAAGAGAACGCGAUCUAGGUGUAGAUUGAAGUUUACGUCUCAAUAUCUUCAUUCUUAUCGAAUUACAAAAAAUAUUAUAGAAUGAUCGCUACGUUGUUGAAAAAGUGGGCGUUCAUGAAGGUCCCUACGAGACAUCCACUGCGACUAAAUAUAUUAAAUGCUGGGUGAACAAUAUGAAUGAAUUAACAACGAACGAGGACAUCGAAAAUAUCUAAGGACAGAUAUUAGCGCAGAAUGGCUGAAUGCACGAAAAAUUUAGUUUAAGGAAUGUAAUUAUAGACAGAUUUGAUAUACACGCCCCCACAUAAUUCCGCAUGAAACGAACUUUAACAUUUAACAAGCAACAACGUGUGUACAAUUAGCAGAUUUACAAGCUUUCUUAAGAAAGUAAUAAUUUUUCCGAAACGUUUGUAAAUCGCGUCCUCUUAACCGAGUUCCUUCCGAAAACAGAGGACAACACGUUGUUUUAUAUCAAAUUCUCUCAGUACUUAGUUACUACUCGUUACUAUUCUCUUCGAGUUUAUUUCGAACUCAUCUAGGCUCUCGUAUAUAUCCUCCAUCUCUAUAAUUGUCGUCCUGAUAACUAAAGUCUUCGCUUUCUUGCAAGAUUCCUUGUAUUCCGAAGUUUUUGGUUCCAACCGACGCGAGAUUUUCAUAAAUCAAAGUGGGACCCAUCUCUUGACUUUCUUUCCAGAAGGAAAUUCUCCUUCUAGGCGCUUUCUUGUUGUAGAUUACAGUAUCAUAGACAUGAAAAGGACUAUAAAGUACCACGAGUCUAUCCCAUCUGAUGGCUGACCUGGUAUUCACCUGAAGCAUACAUCCACUCCUUAUGGAAGAAAAAUCACAGUUUAAAAACAACCCCGAAAAAUCGACUAUUUUAAGCGUAGAUCUCUCUUCUUUUUUCCUCUUCUUUCAUUCUCGGAUUGCUCCUGGGUUAUACUCUUCCUUUCUUCAAGCAUUUCCCUCACUCAACCCAAACUUUGUGGCUUCACUGAAACGUUUACUAAAACGGAAAUUAUAUCCGGUAGAAUUUUCUUGGUACAUGUUCUUUUAUUAAAACAACUUUUCCUUCUUUUUUGAACAUUGAUAUGAAAUAUUUAGUUCAUUGCCUCCUUAAUGCCUGCAUCCUCGGAAUAUUCUAACUCAUCCAUCUAUGAAAUAUCUAACAGUUAAAUGCUACGUAGGCCAUCUGAGUUCGAAUGGACGAUUUUAUUUCUUUUUCUCAUAGAGAAUAUCACAUCAUUGAUUUUCCUUGAAAUUUUGUAUAUAAAAUUCUUUUAAACUUGUUUUAUUUUACUUAGCUUUUUUAAUUGCUUCUGUGCUUUUCCCUUCCUACGUUGAGGGUUAUAAUAACCCUCAUAAUAAUAAGUUUAAAUAACUACACCUUUUUGAACUUUUAAAUUUUCCAUCUCGAUCAUAUUAGGCGUUUAUUUUACAGGACUUAAUUUCCAUUUGCUCUCACGAUUCUGUGAAUUUCAUCUAAUUUUAUCUUAAACAUCGAUCCAUAAGCAUAAGGUAUACAUAUAUACUAUAAGAAAGAGGAUUUCCAUAUCAGAUGGACAACCCUGAAGAAGAUCCAAUGAUAUUAUUAAAUUUCUUGCAAUAAGCAUUUCCGCUGGAGACAAUCCAGUCUUCUUAUGUUUUCCAGAUCUAUAGAUCCUCAAACAUAACGGGAUCCAUCGAUCCCAAUUGUUUCGAUCUUGAGUUAAGUAAUUUAUUAUCGUCCUAUGCUGACGUUCAACUUGACCGUCUGAUUACAAAUAUAACAUUGUUAUCUUAGUUUAUCGGAUUACUAAUUUCCUUAAAUAACUUAGAUUCAACAUUUCUACUCUGAUCGGUUUGUAAUUCUCAAGGUACUCAGUGUAUAGAAACAAUUUGCUCAUGUAGCAAUAAUAUAAUAGUGAAUUAAUCAACUACUGUUUUAAAAAUUACAACUACUAUUUUCGUCAUAAAAUUCCUAAGGGGAAAUACUUCUAACCAUUUACUGAAAUAGUCUAUUACUACCAGAAAAAAUUUAUUUACUCAUGAAGAUUUUGGAAAAAGAUCUAAAAUACUCAUUUGCAUUCGUUCAAAAGGCAUUCCGUAUACGUUGUAAAUCAGCAUCUCACUCUUUCCUUUUCUUGUUGGAUCUUUUCUGGCAACGCAAAUUGUAUAUGUUUUGCACUAAUCUUUUAUCUCCUAUUUAUAGGAUAAUAUCUUUCCAAUAAUAUCUUUUCCGAAUUCUCUGCGAAGUUUUAUUUACGAUAUUUGUCUAGAAAGUAUCCAAUCUUUUGCUUCAAUCUUGUACCUGGAUAUGCUAUUGUUAAAAAUAGGUCAUUAUUUAGGGGAAAUUUUGAUAAGAGCCUCUGUCAGGUAGUCUUCGGUUGAUAACGAUAUGCUGUUGAAUAUCGUACUCAUCGCAUUUCAUGAUGAUUGAACGCAUCGAAGAAAUAAUGUGCAUUAAAUUUUGCCAAAAACUUGACGAUUCGUGUUUAAAAACCAUCCACAUGAUUCGCAAAGUACAUGAGUGAGGAAGAAGUUAUUCACCAUGAAUAUGCUCUAACAUGAAUAAAAAGUAUUACAAAAAAAUGUUGGAACAAUUGCGUGACAUGAUAAGAAAAAACAAUCAAAUUUGUGAAAAAAUGACAACUGGAUGCUGCAUCGUGAUAAGACUUGCCUAUUCAUCAAUUUAUUCGACAAUUUUUUUUGAGAUGCAGCUUUGUCAGCACUUAUACAGUUCUGAUCUAAUUCCCUGCGACUUCUGGGAAUUGAAAAAUACUCUUAAGGGAAAACGAUUCAAUGGCAUGAAGGAAGUAAAACAGAACGCGAUGAAACGGCUGUUAGCUGUUCCGAAAGUUAAGUACAAAGAGUGUUUCUGAAAGUGAGAGGAUCAUUGGAAGUACGUUGUAGCUUUUAAAGGGAAUUUUCAAGAGGAUAUUUAAUUCUUUCUUCUGCUAUAGUACAAAAUCGAAUACUUUCUGGACAAACCUUGUACACCGAAGUAUCCUCCCAUGGAACCAUCAUGCAUUUCUCACAAAAUAUCUUCAAUUCAUAUUUCGCCUGAGAAACAACGAUUUGAAUAAUAUGAAAUUUUAUACUUGGAUCCUCCUAUUUCCUUCUUUCAAUAAAUUAUUUAAUUAUGCCAAGUA